rnacentral:ncRNA from 1 species
UGCUUAGACAACCAGGAUGUUGGCUCAGAAGCAGCCAUUCAUUAAAAGAGUGCGUAAUAGCUCACUGGUCGAGUGACCCUGCGCCGAAAAUUCAACGGGGCUAAAAUCGUGUACCGAAGCUUGGGAUUCCGAAAGGAAUGGUAGGAGAGCGUUGAAUGAGAGUUGAAGUCGGAGCGGAAGCGCCGGUGGAUUUCAUUCAAGUGAGAAUGCCGGAAUGAGUAGCGAGAAAUAUGUGAGAAUCAUAUUGGCCGAAAGUCUAAGGUU